UACGUUGAAAUAAUUCCAAUAUUCAGAGUAUAUAAGUGCUAAGUAACAGCGGAUGCUUCGACGAACAAUCGAACGUUUCAGGAAAUCUUGACCAAGAUGGCCAGCGAACUUUAACACCAUUUUCUGUUCGACAACGCAGCCACGGUGACGCAAGACCCGGUUUUACUCUAACUUGCAAACAGCGAUGCAACUACGAACUUGCAUCCCAGAGACAAACUUCCUGUUCGGGCACCAACCCGAUGCACUCUCGUCGAUGCACCUUCGAAAUCGCAACAAAUAACGAAAGACACGUCCGAAAAUCUCGCAUUGACUUUCCACGAUUCCACGUUUCCAUGAUUUUCUCUCGAAUGGAUACAUAAAUGCUAUAUUUUACAGGAUGUUGAUUACAUAAAUUACAAUUUCGUCGAAUUAUGACAUACAACGUGUUAUCAAAGCAGUUAUCAGCAAUCUUGUUAUUUCUACUGAUAGAAACACCGAGUGCAAAGGGUCGACCGUGCAUUUAUGUACGAAUGUGUGUAUUUGAAUUAUAAUUGUAUUAUAUGUUCAAUAUUUACUGCGACAUUUAUAUUAAACUAUUUACUGUGACA